rnacentral:tRNA from 1 species
GGAGAGAUGGCUCAGUGGUUAAGAGCACUGAUUACUCUUUCAGAGAACCUGGGUUCAAUCCCCAGCACCC